GUCGAGGAGUGAACAUGUCUCUGAAUAAACCAAUAUGGAAGCUUUCGAACGACAAGAGUGUCAGGCUGCGAUACUUUGUGAAAAGAAACAGCAUGUUAUUGCUGUAUUGUUGCGAUCAUCAUUAUGACUUGUGUUUUACUAUAUCAAGUUUACCUUUUUUAAUUUAAAUUGCAUGAGACGUGCUGUCAUUUUAGCUUUAUAAAUAAUCCGUCUGAGAAAAGGAAUUGUGUUUAAUUUUAUAUUCCCAAUAGCGAGGCUCUUCUUUCUAAGUUGGAUGGCGUUAAAUCUCCGUGUAUCAUCAACGUGAAAACAAGCGCAGUAUUUAAG